UCAUUUCAUGUUUUUAUUGAUAUUUUGGAAAUUGUAGCGUAUAAAAGGCUUCAAAAUAAUUUACUGGCCUUUUAUACGCUACAAUUUCCAAAAUAUCAAUAAAAACAUG